rnacentral:lncRNA from 1 species
GAGGGGGAGCAGGCCUGCAGCCCCAGAAGCACCCAGAGGGCCUGUGGGUAGAUUUGAAUAAAGGUGGUCCAUGGGAGUGGCUUCCCAGGGAGAAGGCAAGCCCCAGAACUGGACAGGGAAGAAAGCAAACCAUGUUGGACUCGCAAUCAGUGAUGAUCUAGAGCAGAGGUCAUCAAAAUACAGGCCACAGGCCUGGCCUGUCACCAGUUUUUUGUAAAUAAAGUUUUAUUGAAACAU